CCUACGGGUGGCAGCAGUGAGGAAUAUUUGUCAAUGGCCGUAAGGCUGAACCUGCGAAGUAGCGUGAGGGAAGACUGGCCUAUGGGUUGUAAACCUCUGUUAUGCGGGGAUAAAGGUGUCCACGUGUGGAUGUUUGCAGGUACCACAUGAAUAAGGACCGGCUAAUUCCGUGCCAGCAGCCGCGGUAAUACGGACGGUCAGGGCGUUAUCCGGCAUUAUUGGGUUUAAAGGGGGCGUAGGCUGGUCUUUAAGCGUGCCGUGAAAUUUUGUGGCUCAACCAGGAGAGUGCGGAGCGAACUGGAGACCUUGAGUGCGCGGAGGGCAGGCGGAAUUCGUGGUGUAGCGGUGAAAUGCUUAGAUAUCACGAAGAACC
rnacentral:rRNA from 1 species